AUUGAACGCUGGCGGCAUGCCUUACACAUGCAAGUCGAACGGCAGCACGGGAGCAAUCCUGGUGGCGAGUGGCGAACGGGUGAGUAAUAUAUCGGAACGUGCCCAGUCGUGGGGAUAACGUAGUGAAAGCUACGCUAAUACCGCAUACGAUCUAUGGAUGAAAGCGGGGGAUCGCAAGACCUCGCGCGAUUGGAGCGGCCGAUAUCAGAUUAGGUAGUUGGUGAGGUAAGGGCUCACCAAGCCGACGAUCUGUAGCUGGUCUGAGAGGACGACCAGCC
rnacentral:rRNA from 1 species